rnacentral:snRNA from 1 species
GAGCAAACCACUUGUGCUCACUUGAAAAAGAAGAUCAGCAUGGCCCCUGCGCAAGGAUGACACGCAAAUUCGUGAAGCGUUCCAUUUAAUA